UACAGAGGUCCCAAGCGUUACUGAGAAUCACUGGGUUUAAAGGGUGCGUAGGUGGUCCGUUAAGUCAGUUGUGAAAUCCCCGGGCUCAACCCGGGAAAUGCUUCUGAUACUGGCGGACUUGAGGCCAGUAGGGGUCACUAGAACUGACGGUGGAGCGGGGAAAUGCGUAGAUAUCGUCAGGAAUGCCGGUGGUGAAGACGGGUGACUGGGCUGGUUCUGACACUGAGGCACGAAAGCGUGGGGAGCGAACGGG
rnacentral:rRNA from 1 species